rnacentral:rRNA from 1 species
ACUGCUAAGACUGGAUAGGAGACAAGAAGGCAUCUUCUUGUUUUUAAAAGACCUAGCAAUAGGUAUGCUUAGGGAGGAGCUUGCGUCACAUUAGUUAGUUGGUGGGGUAAAGGCCUACCAAGACUAUGAUGUGUAGCCGGGCUGAGAGGUUGAACGGCCACAUUGGGACUGAGACACGGCCCAAACUCCUACGGGAGGCAGCAGUAGGGAAUUUUCGGCAAUGGAGGAAACUCUGACCGAGCAACGCCGCGUGAACGAUGAAGUAUUUCGGUACGUAAAGUUCUUUUAUUAGGGAAGAAUAAAUGAUGGAAAAAUCAUUCUGACGGUACCUAAUGAAUAAGCCCCGGCUAACUAUGUGCCAGCAGCCGCGGUAAUACAUAGGGGGCAAGCGUUAUCCGGAAUUAUUGGGCGUAAAGGGUGCGUAGGCGGUUAAAUAAGUUUAUGGUCUAAGUGCAAUGCUCAACAUUGUGAUGCUAUAAAAACUGUUUAGCUAGAGUAAGAUAGAGGCAAGUGGAAUUCCAUGUGUAGUGGUAAAAUGCGUAAAUAUAUGGAGGAACACCAGUAGCGAAGGCGGCUUGCUGGGUCUUUACUGACGCUGAGGCACGAAAGCGUGGGGAGCAAACAUGAUUAGAUACCCUGGUAGUCCACGCCGCAAACGAUGAGUACUAAACGUUGGGUAACACCAGUGCUGAAGUUAACACAUUAAGUACUCCGCCUGAGUAGUACGUACGCAAGUAUGAAACUUAAAGGAAUUGACGGGACUCCGCACAAGCGGUGGAUCAUGUUGUUUAGUUCGAAAGUACCCGAAAAACCAACCCCAGGUCUUGACAUGCUUCUGCUAAGCUGUAAAAACACAGUGGAAAGUUAUCAGUUGCACAAGUGGUGCAUGGUUGUCGUCAGCUCGUGUCAGGAAAUGUUGGGUUUAGUCCCGCAACGAGCGCAACCCUUAUUGUUAGUUACCAGCACGUAAUGGUGGGGACUUUAGCAAGACUGCCAGUGAUAAAUUGGAGGAAGGUGGGGACGACGUCAAAUCAUCAUGCCCCUUAUGACCUGGGCUACAAACGUGAUACAAUGGCUGUUACAAAGGGUAGCUGAAGCGCAAGUUUUUGGCGAAUCUCAAAAAAACAGUCUCAGUUCGGAUUGAAGUCUGCAACUCGACUUCAUGAAGUUGGAAUCGCUAGUAAUCGCGAAUCAGCAUGUCGCGGUGAAUACGUUCUCGGGGUUUGUACACACCGCCCG